GAUGAACGCUGGCGGCGUGCUUAACACAUGCAAGUCGAACGGGAAACCUUUUAUUGAAGCUUCGGCAGAUUUAGCUGGUUUCUAGUGGCGGACGGGUGAGUAACGCGUGGGUAACCUGCCUUAUACAGGGGGAUAAUAACCAGAAAUGGUUGCUAAUACCGCAUAAGCGCACAGGACCGCAUGGUCCGGUGUGAAAAACUCCGGUGGUAUAAGAUGGACCCGCGUUGGAUUAGCUAGUUGGCAGGGUAACGGCCUACCAAGGCGACGAUCCAUAGCCGGCCUGAGAGGGUGAACGGCCACAUUGGGACUGAGACACGGCCCAGACUCCUACGGGAAGCAGCAGUGGGGAAUAUUGCACAAUGGGGGAAACCCUGAUGCAGCGACGCCGCGUGAAGGAAGAAGUAUCUCGGUAUGUAAACUUCUAUCAGCAGGGAAGACAGUGACGGUACCUGACUAAGAAGCCCCGGCUAACUACGUG
rnacentral:rRNA from 1 species